AUAGUAUAUGAAAGGAGAGAAGGUUAGCACCCCCCUUGACAAGGAUGGAAGGGGCCCUCUGGCCUAACCACACGCACACAGUUCUGGCCUGGCCACCUACUUCGCGGCCUCUGACCACUGUUUUUG